rnacentral:lncRNA from 1 species
UAUAUAUAUAUAUAUAUAUAUAUAUACACACACUCUUAUGAGUAUAAGCCCCUUUAUACUCAGAAGUUUUCCGCCAUUAGAUCUACCCCUUUGACUAUUUUUAUCUGUUCGAUCGUACUAUUCAACUAAUCACCCACUCAAUUCUAGGGGACUACUAUUAUCCUAAUCAGAGACCACUAUCAUCAUAACCGCCCAUCUUUUCAUCAAACGGUUGAAAACUUAUGAGUACAAAAGGGUCUACUCCAAAGAGUAUAGUAGCCAUGAGAU